rnacentral:lncRNA from 1 species
AACCAUCUUUUUACGGAUCGAUCGAUUGUUGAGCAUGUGGUCGAUCCGAAAAUACUCUGCAGUUUAAUUAAAUAUGUAAAACAUUAAUUCCAACACUCAACAGAUAGUUUUGAUAAAUAUGAUAACUAGAUAGCCAACAAAAUUACAAAAAAUAUUUAAAUAGUAAAAAAUAUAUUAAUUUAACGUGUUAAAAUUUAAAAAUAAAUUUAAAGUAAGGCAUGCAUUCUUAACAUUUAUAUAAAUAUAUUUCAUAGCCUAAAUAUAAAUAAUUUAACAAUUUAAAUUAGAAAA